AACCUCACCUUGCAGGGGAGACCCAUCAUCACAAAGUUGCUUUUUCCAGGGCAAGGCUUACCCAUUGCCCUCUGGUUUCCCCAAGUGCAGGAAACUGAUGCAGGAUUUGCAGUGGUGGGGAUUGCAUUCAUUCAUGUUCUCU
ensembl:snRNA U1 U1 spliceosomal RNA